UACGUGGAUUUUAAUUUUAAUUUUUAAUUUUUUAGUUUCUUCCUUUAGAAUCCCAAACGUCUCUCCCUAUACGAAACACCCCUCUCUCUCUUCUCUCUCUUCUCAGUUCUCUCUCUCUUUGUUUUCUUCACCGACAAAUCUCUCUCUCCGGCGGUUUCUUCCUUUAGAAUCCCAAACGUGCCUCUCCCUCUACGAGACCCCCCUCUCUCUCUUCUCUCUCUUCUCAGUUCUCUCUCUCUUUGUUUUCUUCACCGGCAAAUCUCUCUCUCCGGCGGCCGGCAGUCCUUCUUUCGACGGAAUCGCUGCCGGAUUUCGCCGGAAAAUCUCUCUCUCUCUCUCUCUCUCUCUCCGGAAUCCAUCUCUCGCCAAAAAAUCUCUCUGGACGGAAUCUCUCUGCCAGAUCUGCCCGGAACUUGACGGACACGCUCUCUCUCACCGGAUCUUGAUGGAAACGCUCUCUCUCGACGGAUAUUGCCGAAGCUCGCCGAAAAUCUCUCUCUGGACGGAAUCUCUCUAUGCCAGAUCUCGCCGGAAACAGUUUCUCUCGCCGGAUCUAUCUCGCCGGAGCUACAAAUAGUGAAAUGAUGGUGAUAGAAGAGAAUAGCAAGCAUGAGAAUGGAAGUUGCUCAAGGUGGAGUACAAUUGGCGAUUGAAAAAGAAAAACAACCGGAUGAAAAAAAACUAUCAGAUUUAAGAGAGUUAAAUCUUAAGAGAUUUAAGAGAGUUAAAUCUUAAGAGAUUUAAGAGAGUUAAAUCUGUAGAAUUUUGAAGCAGUGGUGGCUGCCCGCAAAGCACAUGAUAGUACGCCUCAAGAUGUCGAGAUUUUAGAUUUUACUUCUUAAAAGUGAAAGUGUUCCAAAUGAGACUAAUUAUUUUUACACCACUUUGAUUCAAGUCUAUUGUCUUAGUAUGUAAAACUCAUGCAUGUAUAACCAAUAUAUAUAGAACCUACACCCUUGUGUUUUGGUAUAGAGUUAAA